ensembl:piRNA 21ur-3508 ncRNA
UAGUGACCCAUAAUCGCCAAA